rnacentral:rRNA from 1 species
UACGGGGGGGGCAAGCGUUGUUCGGAAUUACUGGGCGUAAAGGGUUCGUAGGUGGCUUGCUUAGUCAGACGUGAAAUCCCUCAGCUUAACUGGGGAACUGCGUCUGAUACUGGCGAGCUUGAGUGCAGGAGAGGAACGCGGAAUUCCAGGUGUAGCGGUGAAAUGCGUAGAUAUCUGGAGGAACACCGGUGGCGAAGGCGGCAUCCUGGACCACGACUGACGCUGAGUGAGCGAAAGCCAGGGGAGCAAAGCGGG